GCUGGGUGGAACGACAGGGCCCUAAUAGAUCACUACCGGUGUAGCCUUAGGGAGGACGUCUGCAGGGAGCUAGCGUGUCGGGACACUACACUCUCCCUAGAUGAACUGAUCAACAUGUCUAUACGACUGGACAAUCUGCUGGCUGCCCGCGGGCGUUCAGAGAGGGUCCUGUCAGUUCCAGCUCCUAGCCUGCCUGCACCCAUUCCUAUGGAGCUCGGGGGAACUGCGUCAAGGGGAACCAGAGGAGGGCGCCCCUCCUGCACCAAUUGUGGUCGACGAGGACACACGGAAGACCGGUGCUGGGGGGGUCCCUCUGGGAGUCGAGAGGGCAGGCAGAACACUCCUCGUUCAUCCCAGGUCGCAGUUGUAAAUGAGAACUUGUUCUCAACUGGCCUACCUGGUUAAAUAAAGGGUGAGGAGAGGAGACAAGAGGGUGGAGGAUGCCUGAAGCAGCAGUCUCCAAGCAUCUCCAUAUCCCUAUGCACAGUGAGGUCUGUCUCUCUCAACCGUGGAGCAGAACAGUGGGUGACCUGCUUCAGAUCCCUCAAUGAUUCCUCAAGAUAAAUGCCUGAGCAACCCC
rnacentral:lncRNA from 1 species